GAGCUCCUCAGUGACCCAGCCUAAUGUCCUCAGUGUCCAACUACUGCCAGAUUUUGUAUUCCUUCUGCAGCUAAGAAGUGUGUGAAGUUGUGCUACUCAACUGUGUGAUGACAAAACUGGCCAAAGUUCUUAGUCACCGAUGCCUGUUGGCCUCACUGUUACACACUUCAGCACCUCAUGUAAUGCAUUAUCAGAAUUGGCCAGGGUAGUUUCCUUUGGAUGACAUCUGAAAACAGUGGUUUGAGCAUUUUAGCUACAUAAAGUGCUGAUGUCUUGUUUUCAUUAGUACAACUUACUAAUAAAUUGUUAUAACAUUAUUUACCUGAGAAAAGCGUCUGUGUCCAGGCUAAAUAAGCAACAUGCUCCGUUUGAAGAAUUUAAAUUCUCAGUCUUGUCAUCUGAUAAACAUUGCUUUACUUGGGUUGUUUCACCUGAAGAGUACUAUUAGUGCUGCUUUUGCUGUCAUUUACAUUCAUUUAGUUUUCUUAAUGUUAUACCAAAUUUGUGUAUGUUUUUACCUUUUAAGCUUUACCUCAAACACAUCAGGUUCUAAUAUGUCUGUAGCUUGUAUUGAAGAAAAAACCAAAACUGGAUUUGAAUAGUCAGUUAAUGGAGAAUAAUCAGGAUUCUAACAGUAAUAACAGUAAUGCAAGUGGCCACGACCACAAGUUCUGCUUUCUGCGCUUCCUUCUGUGCUGCUUUUAAGGAUAAAUUAUAAUUAUAUUAUGUUUACAAUGAAUCUAUCUGAACAAUUUCUAGUGAUGCUCUUCCAUGCUGUUACUUUAGCAAACUUAGGGCAUUUGCCACUGGAUAAUACAGUUGUUUUUCUCACCCCACAGCUACCUUAUCUUCUCAUAUCAUUGUUCUUUUCCUUUCUGUUCUAUUUGCCUAGUUAAAAUCUUAAGUCUGAAGAAGGUGGGUGGAGGGAGGGAUGUCUGUAAAAACUGCUUUUUCUUUCUGUGCCUGGGUUAAAUGAUGUUUAUCUUUUGCCUCUUGUGGAAGCACUAAAUAAUACACAAAUAAAUAAAUUAUAAAAGACUAUG